UACGUAGGGUGCAAGCGUUGUCCGGAAUUAUUGGGCGUAAAGAGCUCGUAGGCGGUUUGUCGCGUCGAAUGUGAAAACCCGGGGCUCAACCCCGGGCCUGCAUUCGAUACGGGCAGACUAGAGUUCGGUAGGGGAGUCUGGAAUUCCUGGUGUAGCGGUGAAAUGCGCAGAUAUCAGGAGGAACACCGGUGGCGAAGGCGGGACUCUGGGCCGAUACUGACGCUGAGAAGCGAAAGCGUGGGGAGCGAACAGG
rnacentral:rRNA from 1 species